rnacentral:rRNA from 1 species
AUGGGGCCCUCUCCGUCGCCGCCGCAGCCGCCACCGCCGCUUCCGGCGACCGGCCGCCUCCUCGUGCUCUACGCGUCGCAGACCGGCAACGCCAUGGACGCCGCCGAACGUGUUGGGCGCGAGGCCGAGCGCGGUGGCUGCCCGGCCGUCGACGUCCUCUCCAUGGACAGCUUUGACCCCAGUUGCUUGCCGGGCGAAAUGUCCGUGGUGUUCGUCGUGUCCACCACGGGGCAGGGCGAUCCCCCGGAUUCCAUGAAGGGGUUUUGGAGAUACCUUCUUAAGAAGGACCUUGGUGCCAGGUGGCUGGAAGGGCUCCGUUUUGCCGUAUUUGGGCUCGGCGAUUCGGGCUACCAGAAGUACAAUUUACCUGCAAAGAAGAUCGAUAGAAGGCUUUUACAACUUGGUGCAGAAAUAAUCAUAGAGAUAGGCUUGGGAGAUGACCAACACCCUUCAGGAUAUGAAGGAGCUCUAGAUCCUUGGUUGCUGUCUUUGUGGGAAUCGCUGAAUAAAGCAAAUCCGUCACUUCUACCAAGAAUAACUGAUAUCAUUAAUCCUAAUUUGAAUUAUUUGGGGGAUUCAAAGAUCGAAGUCAUAUAUUACUCUUGCAAUGAUACCCCUCCAGAUUCCAUUGUUUCAGAUUCUGUCAUUUUUUCAUCAGACUCCAAGAAAUUAAUCAAGAGAGCACGCUUAAUGUCCCCUGCUCUGAAGUUCCAUAGUGAUGGAGAGCCACAAUACAUGUUAAAGAUGGUAACAAAUCAGCGUUUGACUAAGGAGGAUUAUGAGAAAGAUGUGCGCCACUUUGAAUUGGAAGAUCCAUCUUCAGGGAUCAGCUAUCAAGUUGGCGAUGCGUUAGAAAUUCUACCAAGUCAGAAUCCAUCAGCUGUUAAUGCUUUCAUUGAACGCUGUAACUUGGAUCCAGAUUGUUACAUAACGAUUAGAGCAAAGGGAGGGGAUGAAGUUCCCAACGGUUCACUUCUGAAUGGCUCGAUGGGUCGCAUCAAGUUAAGCACCUUUGUUGCUUUGACAAUGGAUGUUGCAUCAGCUUCCCCUCGUCGGUAUUUCUUUGAGAUCAUGAGCCAUUUUGCAACAGCUGAACAUGAAAAGGAAAGGCUUCAGUAUUUUGCUUCUCCUGAAGGUAGAGAUGACCUCUACCAGUACAAUCAAAAGGAGAGUCGGACUGUUCUAGAAGUACUGGAGGAUUUUCCCUCGGUGCACAUGCCUUUUGAAUGGCUGGUGCAACUAACUCCUCCAUUGAAGAAACGGGCCUUUUCCAUAUCAUCAUCGCCAUUAGUACAUCCAAAUCAGAUACACUUGACUGUUAGUAUUGUAUCAUGGCUUACUCCUUUCAAGAGGACAAGGCAGGGUCUCUGCUCCACAUGGCUGGCAGGUCUCAGUCCAAAUGAAGAAAAUCUUAUACCAUGUUGGGUACACAAAGGAUCCCUGCCUCCUCCCAAGCCAUCGAUUCCUCUUGUACUUAUUGGACCAGGAACAGGAUGUGCACCAUUUCGAGCAUUUGUGGAGGAAAGGGCUGCACAGAGUGCGAGAGAAUCAACAGCUCCCAUUCUGUUCUUUUUUGGCUGUAGAAAUGAAGACAACGAUUUUCUGUACAAGGACUUCUGGUUGAAGCAUGCCCAGGACAAGGGAGUGCUGUCCCUGAAAGAGGGCGGUGGUUUCUUUGUUGCCUUUUCCAGGGAUCAGCCUCAAAAGGUCUAUGUACAACAUAAGAUAAAGGAGCAGAGUGCAAGAGUGUGGAACAUAUUAUGCUCUGGGGCUGCAAUAUACGUUGCAGGGUCUUCUACCAAAAUGCCUGCUGAUGUUACAGCUGCACUAGAAGAAGUUAUCCGCCAAAAAGGUGGUGAGGCUGCUUCAGGAUGGCUCAGGAAACUGGAAAGGGCUGGUAAAUUUAACAUUGAAACGUGGUCGUGA